UCCUCAGUUCCUCGCUGCUGCUUUUGGCAUUGCUGAUACUGCUUCCUCCAGCCCCUGACCUCUAUCACUAAUCUAGCCCUGGGCCCAGUCCUAACCCCCAACCUCCAGAUCUUCCGGCUCCAUUCCUAAAUCGGCCUCUGCUGUUGCUGAUCCUGCUGAUUGCUACCACUGAGAAGCUAGGAGUCCUUGUAGUCACUCCUUAAGGCAGAUGGUAAAAAACUGGGGUGUCUUUUUCUUUAGUCAACAAUUAGUCUCCUUACUCCCUCUGGUGAGAGUAGCUUUUUAUCUCUGGGGGGACAGGGAGAAGGAAGUUACUCUUCCAAACAGGAAGUUGAUCACAAGCAUGUCAUAUUCUAUGAAAGAGCAGUGCACUACCUAUUUCAAACAGCUUCCAGCUUGUAACUGAUGACAUUGCAACACAAAAGAGAUCUGCAAGAAAAAGCAAGAGGCUUGUAAUUUGGUGAAAUGCCCUUCAACCGAGAUGGAGACAGAAUUCCAAUAGAAUCUUAAAGGGAGCAGUUAGGAAGCCCAGCUGCUUGAACUUCACUUCACUUCUCAUCUGAUUGUUGUGAAGAAGGUAGAAGCCAAACUCCCUCUCUUGUUCAAUGAUUAUUUAUAUGACUAAGUACUGAAAAGAUUUUGAAGCUUAGCUCAGAAGAAACUCUGUCAUUAUUUGUUAUGAACAUCUUCCCUUAGAGAAAAAUAACUUUAUUUCCUGAGUUGGAUACAUUGAGAAAUCUCCAAUCAACAGAGAAAUACAGGAAGUUAGUGGAUCAUGGCCAGGUUUGAAGAAGAAAUGGAUCUCAUUUUUUUGGUGAGAAACCUUUGUAUCCUAACCUUCCUUAGCUGACAUAGUGUCAAUGAUUAUAAGCUAUAUAUUUUUUAUUUUAAAAAUUUUUAUUACUGUUUUUGUUUGCAUGUGCAAUAUACUAUUUCAGUUUUAUUUUUCUCUCCUUUUUGUAUUUGAAGCACAUGUCACCAGUAUUAAGAUUUUCUUUAACUUUUUUUUUUUAUUUUGCAGUAAUCUAAUUUUAAAAUACAUUUACCCUAAUGUCAAUGCAUCAAUGCAUACCCAAAAAGCUUUAGACUAUAAAAAUGAUGCCAUUGAUUAUUUAAAAAAAUAUUAUGGGAUUUUGCUUAAUGAUUCUGUCUGAUCCCAGGACAAGAUAAUAUAAAAAGAGCCAUUGCACAGUGCCAAAGAAGCGCAAAGCUAAACAGCAUAGUGCCAAAAGACCAACCAAUUCCAAUGGGAUUGAUUAAAUUUUGAGCCAAGACAAGAGGACUUGAAUUUGUUUGGGGUUCGAGGUUGUGGCUGUUUUGACAUGUGUCAAAGUCAUGUCUUCCUUGUCCCACAUUCUACCAAAUAUCUCAAAUUUGACUCCUAUAAUCUAGUCCCUAUUCUGUCUUUCAUAGUGUGGCAACUUCUUGUAGUCUUGGCUGCAAAUGGGUAAGUGAAAUAUUACUGUAUUUUGCCCUAUAAACUUGUGGGACAGAAAUUACUUUAAUUGGACCCUAAUACAAGGGCCAGUUAGAAUUUUAUUAAAUUAGGCCCUGAUUCAAAGACCUGUUAUAGGUUUAUUUUCCUUUACUUAAAUUUUUUACACAUAAGACUUUGAUAGUCUAUAUUUCAUCCAGAAGUUAUCUUUUCACUUACAUGCUAUACCAGAAGCUCCAGAGUGAACUUUGGGAUGUGGUGAUUUGAACUGUAUGGAGUUAAAUAUAUUUGUUUGGUAUGUAUAUGUUUAUGCCAAAGGGGACUGCCCCCUAACUGGCUUUUGGUCAAUGCAUCUAACAAUCAUUGGUUUUGUUCUCUUUUCCUCUUAUCCUCAAAUUAUUGUAAUUCCAAAGUUGGUAUGUUUACAAGAUCCACUGGAGAGACUAGUCUUCCUCAGCUCUCAGGGGUACUGUCUUAGUCUUUGUGAUCGCAUUUAGUUUUCUUGACAAAGAUUCUGAAGUGGUUUGCAAUUUCCUUCUCCAGUUCAUUUCACAAAUGAAGAAAUUGAGGCAAAAAAUGGGUAAGUGACUUGCCCAGGGUUACUUGAGCUAGAAAACAAUGGUAUUCUGUCCAUUGCCUCAACUAACUGUCCACUAAGUUAUAUUUUCAUUUUAACUUUCUUUUCUCUGCAAUCUAAGACAUAUUUAAGCAAGUUUAGCUUGAAAAUAAUUGCAGUACUUCAACAAUCUUUAUGAAUGUAUUAAUUCUAUGCCAUGUUUUCCCCUCAGAUCUAUAAGUUUUGAAUAGAAUCUGAAAAGUGCACUUUCCCUGAUGGGUACUGUCAUAAGAGUAUUAUUGUCUGUUAGUUAAAACUUUACAGAGGAUGGAAAAAGUUGUUUAACCUAUUUUCAUGUGCUUUAUUUAUAUGACCAUUCUUUUUCAGUUGAGAUGCUACAUCUCAAACUCAUAUGGAACAGUCAUAAUGGUUCUGAAAUUACUAAUCAUGUCUAGAAACACUAGGUAGCAAUUAUCUAUGUCCCAUCAGGGAAGUCCAUAGAAACAUAAAGUCUAACAAACCCAUAGCAAAUGUUGUUAUUGAGUUGUGUCUGAUUCAUCAUGACCCUAUAUGUAUUUUUCUUGGUAGAUAUGGGGUUGUUUGGCAUUUCCUUCUCCAGCUCAUUUAAUAGAUGAGGAAACUGAGGCAAACAGGGAAAAGUAACUUUCCCAGGGUCACACACCUAGUAAAUGUCUGAGGAUGAGUCUUACUGACUGCAGACCCAGCCCUCUAUCCACUGUACCACUUGAAUGCACAAAGGAACCUAAAGUCUACCUUUAAAAACUCCUCCUGGAGAAUAAAAAUCCAUGAAUCACCCAUUAAAAGUCUUAAACAUUGCUAGGAAUUUUUUUUGGUGGGGGGGGGGGGAGAAAGCCAAUUAUUUUAGAGGUCUCUUUACUACUUUUGUUUUUUUUUUAAUUGAAAAAUUUAAUUUAAUAAUUAAUUUAGAAUAUGUUCCCAUGGUUAUAAGAUUCAUGUUCUUUCCCUCCUCUUAAUCUCCCCCCUCCCCCAGCCGAUGCACAAUUCCACUGGGUUUUACACUUGUCAUUGAUCAAGACCUUUUUCCAUAUUAUUAGUAUUUGCACUGGGGUGGGUGAUCAUUUCUCUCUACUAAUUCUGCUAGCUACUUUAAAGGAUCACCCAAUGUAGGGACUGUCCCCACAAUCUGAGCAUCUGUCUUCUAACCCAAACCUCUUAUUUGGCUGUUUCAUCCUUUUACUUGAUGCAAUCUUGUCAGUCAAACUAGAGAAAAGCACUGGUAAGCUUCUGUGACUCCCAGCAUGAAAUGACCUUUCCCUAGUUAGCUAUUAUUGUACAGUAUUUUAUUUGAUAUUAUGUAAAAAGCCCUGGAGUUCUUAGUGUUUGUAUCCUAAAACCCAGCUCUGAAACUUAUUAGCCAUAUAAUACUGGGUAUAGUCACCUAACACCUCUAUUCUUCCAUUUCCUCAUCUAUAAAAUAGUAGUAAUAAUAUGUAUAUUGCAAUACUUAUCUAAUAGAGGCUGCCAUUUAUAUAGUGUUUGAAUGUUUGUAAAGCACUUUGCAUAUAUUCUCAUUUGAUCCUCUCAUGAAAUCAGUCAGAUGCCUGUUAUUAUUAUCCAUAUUUUAUAGAAAAGAAAACUGAAUUUCAGAAGGGUUGAGGGCAUUGCUCAGGGUCAUAGAACCAGCAUCAAUCAAUCCUCAAACCCAAGUCUCCCUGCUUCUAAUUAAUUGUUUUAUCUGCUUUAACACAUUUCCUCUUUCUCCUGGUAUUAUAAAGAAAAGCACUUUGUUAACCUUAAGGUGCUACAUUAGCGUAAGCAAUUUUUAUCUGUCUCUCUCUUUUGAAUUUAAUGUGUUCUUUUAAUUAUAGUUCUUUAUGCAGAUUUCAUGUAUUCCUUAUUAAUAUUGUUCAGUUGUUUCAGUCAUGUAUGAAUCUUCAUGACUUCAUUUAGAAUUUUCUUGGCAAAUAUUCUGGAGUGGUUUGCCAUUUUUUUCUGUGGCUCAUUUUACAGAUAAAGUAAGUGAGGCAAAGAAGGUUAAGUGAUUGGAUAAAACUCCCUUAACUAAUAAAACCUAAGGCCACAAAUGAACUCAGGAAGAGGAGUCUUUAUAACUCUAUCCACUGUACUCAAUCUACUGCAUCACCUAGCUAUUCUCAUACUACCCCUACUAGAUUAUAAAUUCUUUGAAUAUAGAGACUUUGUCCUAUCCAUCUCUGUCUUGGCACCAUGCAUGAUAAGUAUUUAUUAAAUAGAAGCAUUUAUUAAUAAGCAUUUAUUAAAUAGAAGGCCUCUUGCCAUAUUUCUUCACCUCUAGACUUAUCAUGCUAGUUUUUGAACAUUUCCUCAUGAACUGUUUCCAAUUUCUUCUCAUUCCUGGGAACUCGGUUCUAUACCUACAAUGGUAACAACAGGCAAUAGAAUGGUAGAAUUCUUGCCAGAAAGACCUAGGUUUAAAUCCUACCUCAGAUACCUUCCAGUUCUGAGAUUCUGAAUAAUUAAUAUCACCUUUCAAGAAUCUGCAAGAUUCUUGACUUCAUCUAUAAAAUGAGGAGGAUUAUAAUACCAUCUACCUCAAAGAUACAUUGUGAGAGUUGAAUGAAAUAUGUUUAAGCUCUUUGCCAACCUUAAGUGCUAAAUAUAAAUACCAACUACUCUUAUUAUUACUCUUUAAUAAAAAUAUGACUAAUAUGGAAUAUAAUGCUAUAGAACAUAUUUCUAAAUCAUGGCCAUAUGCUUCCUUUUUAACUAUAUCACCACCUAAUUCAAUGUCAGUUUGUCAUCAUUCUGACCUUUAGAACUUUUUCUAUCAUGUGCAUAAAUAACCAUUAUUCCCUGGCUUAUUUUCCCUCCCUGUCUCCUUAUUAAAUGUCAUCCUGUUUGUUUUCUAAUCCCUUUUCCAAUCUGUCACAGUCACUCUGAAUUGUAUUCCUUUCCUCAGUGAUUCUGUCCACUUCAUACUCCUUUUCUCUGACACAGUCGCAACUUAAAAAGACAUCUCCAAAUCAGUGAUGAAGAUUUGCAGCAACAACAAGCAUGUCUAUCAGUUCCCACAGCUUAGACCAUCAGCACGACUCCCAAAUCUAUUUGUCUAACCCAGCCUGGUUCCUGGCCCCAGGCUCCAUAUCUCCAGCUCUCUAGUGGUCAUUUCCACCAAUUUGUUCCAAGGACACAUGGAAAUUUAACUUAUCAUGUAUACUCUCACAAACUACUCAAUUCACUUUUUCUAUAUAUGGUCUCCCCAAUCAAAUGUUAGAACUUUUGCUGUUAUCUUUGAAUUUUUUUCUCUCUCAAUUGCCAUAUCUAAUAAAAUAUGAUUUCUUAUGGAUGCUAGUUUCCUUUUUUAAUUAUUACUAUAAUUUUACUUUUCAGAUUACAAGUUGAUACAAUUUUUAAUGAUGAUUUUCUGACAAUAAAGGAUCUAUGUUCUCUUGCUCCCUUUCUCUUUUCCCCCCUCCCCUAUACAGUGGGUCAUAUGACAAAGAUAACACAUGUUCUGUCCUACAAAACAUAUUUCUAUGUUCAUAGUUGUGAAAGAAGAUAUAUUGCUGAUACAGGGGGAAAAAAUCAUGAAGAAAAUAAAGAAUGAUAAAUUUCAAUCUACAUUCAGCCUCCAUUAGUUCCUGCUAUAGCAGUGGUUAGCCUUUUUCUUCAUAUAGAUUCUACUUUGUCAAUAUCACUUAAGACUUUCUCCCGCCUUAGUACAGAAUUCAUUACAAUUCACCUGAAUUCCUGCCACAAAUUCCUAACUAGUCUUCCAGCCUCUCUUUUCUAGUCCUUCCAAUAUACUACUCUUCAUGCCAUUAUCAUAUUAAUUUUUCUUAUGCACAGAUGUGAAUAUAUCAUUUCACUGUUUGAUAUCUUUUAAUCUAUCCUAUUGCCCCUUCAAUAAACUCUUAAUCCCUAGUUUGGCCUUUAAGGCUUUCAAUGAUCUGGACUCCCUUUCCUUUUCUAACAUUAUCUCAUAUGGUUUCCCUUCAUGUGUGUCAUGCUUCAGCCAACUUAGGCUACUCUCUGACCCUGUUUGCUAUAUACCUAGUAAUUUUAUGCCUCUGUUCAUGCAAUUCCUGAUGAAUGGAAUGCCUGAUCAUCAUUUUCUAACUUUCAAAAUAAUAUUCAUCCUUCAAACCCAAGUUUAAAGCCACCUCCAAUAGGAUAGUCUAACUAAUUUCAAGUCCCCUAACAAGAACUGAUUGCUUUUUCCUGUGACCUUGUAUCACACAUUCUGUUUCUCUUAUUCUAUUUUGUAAUCUAUUCUAUACUAAGGUCAUUGUUUUUGUAUUAAAUUCCAUAUUUGUGCAAGUCAUCACCCUUCCCAACCUUGUCCCAGCUAAUAUGCUCCACAAAGGCAGUCUAAGAAGAUGUCAACCCUGUGUGUGUGUGUGUGUGUUUGUGUGUUUGUGUG